rnacentral:rRNA from 1 species
UUGUGUAUCAGUACAUGGCAUAUCAAUAAGCGGAGGAAAAGAAACUAACUAGGAUUCCCUCAGUAACGGCGAGUGAAGCGGGAAGAGCUCAAAUUUGAAAUCUUCAAGGUUUUACCUUGACGAAUUGUAGUUUAAAGAAGUGUUUUCUGUUGGUGUUUUGGUAAAAGUUCUUUGGAAUAGGACAUCAUAGAGGGUGAGAAUCCCGUAUUUGACCAUUACUUCCAGCGUUGUGAUACACUUUCAAAGAGUCGGAUUGUUUGGGAAUGCAGUCCAAAAUGGGUGGUAAAUUUCAUCUAAAGCUAAAUAUUGGCGAGAGACCGAUAGCGAACAAGUACCGUGAGGGAAAGAUGAAAAGAACUUUGAAAAGAGAGUUAAACAGUACGUGAAAUUGUCAAAAGGGAAGCGUUUGACACCAGUGUUGUUUUCUCGAAAAUCAAUUAAAAAGAGUUGGAUUUUGUAUUGUUAAGACCUUAUCAGCUUACUGUACUUUUUUCUUGCUCUUUUUAAUGCACUUUUCGUUUAACAAGUCAACAUCAAUUUCUUUUGUUGUAAAAGGGUCAUUGGAAGGUGGCUUUCACUUCGGUGAAAGUGUUUAUAGCCUUUGGCUUCUACAAUCGGAGAGAUUGAGGUCUGCAGCGUAGAUCCUUCGGGGUUAGAUACGUAGAUGCUAAGUUAUAGUUUUUUAUAGACAACUUGUUGACUAUGAUUAAUCAUGUAGCUUACUCGUUUACGCUAUUUUACCUACGCUUAGGAUGUUGAUAGUCACAGCGUGUAC